AGCAGGGCGGAUGCCUGGGGAGGGCAGGGCGGCAGUGUGCUCAGAGGUCAAAGGUCUCUGCUGCUUCCCACACCUAUUUUGACUUUCUUAUCAGAGAGAAUGGUUUUCAUGCCAGAAACGGUAGAAGAGACCCAGUUAGGAGCCAGAUGAAGCGAGCAGAUGGUAGGAGGGACCCAAGUCACUUUAAAUGAUCAGGCUUCCAGGGUCAGACAGGUCCGAUUCUGUGGACCAGCCAUCCCUGAAAAGUCACAGCACAGAUUCCAGAACACCGGAGGAGGGCGGAGACUGACCCUACUUUCACCAAAAAGGAAGAUUUGAGUUGGAGAUUCAACACUGAUCCACACCAGCCCUGGUGACAGCAUCGAGGGUCCAAAUGAUCAGAACCCAGGGACGUGGGCUGGUACGGGGACACGACAGCUGCCAAGUGCAGGGUCAUCUACUUCGCUCAGUCCCUGUAAGAGACCUCUGUUUGCAACCCAAGGAAGCGGAAGCUCAAAGAUGUCAAGGCAUCUGCCCGGGUCACGGCAGGUCUCGGCUGGCUGGGGUGAGUGCAAACCACAUUCUCCGGCUCCAACGUGAACCUCACCAAGUACAGAAUAGGAACCAAGUCCUGCGAAGAGACGCGUGGUUUCGGGAGGAUUUCAAGCUUGAGGACAACGUGAUGUGGCUGCCACAAGAGCUUCCACGCAACUUCAGCUACAGAGAUGAACCGUUACCGGUGCCUGGUCAGGGGCAGCCCAGCUGCGCGGUGUCGGCCCCUCUCCCUCCGGGCUGCCCGGCCCGGCCACGUCUGCAGGGCAGGACUCAGGUUAGGGUGCUGGGUUUUAAGAAACCCGUGGGCAAAGCUGGAGGUCCGGUGCUUGCAAGGUCUCGACACCCUGACCCCAAGAAAUGGGCAGGAAUGGGGUAUCUGGCCUGCCCCUGGCACUGGCGACCCUGAGGAGCCUCGAGCCUCAGAGAUCACAAGGGCCCCCACCAAACAGAAGUAAGAGCGGUCCUGAACUCGGAAGUGAUAGCCACUCCCCACCACGUCAAGUUUCCUGAACACCCUUUGUCCUCCCACAAAGCACGGUCUCUCGCCGCCUUCCCCAGCUCCGCGCAGGAGCUAAAUUCCUGGCAACCUCAGGGAAGUGACGAGGCUGAACUCACCGAGGGCCCCGUCUUAAAUGAGCGCCAACAGCCCAAAGUAAGGCUGGGCCUGUCGGCAGAGGGCUUUGGGCCGCCAGGGUUAAGUACAAGCACAUCAGCAACCCAACCUCUUGGGUAUCAUCUCUGCUUCCGAUCAACCUUCAAGGGAACAGAAGGGCAGGAAAACACCAGUCGCCCAAAGAUGUUCCACAAAGUGGAUCCAACCAAGUCUGAAGUCAGAGCCCAGCCCGCUUGUCCCCAUCAAGCUCUUCUCCUCCGCUAUGGCCUGGAGACGGGAAGGACACGCUUUUCCAAACAGGUGUUAUUAGCUCAACGGUGAGAACGCGGAGACUCAGAGAAGGGGAGUGGACUGUCCGGAUCACACAGCUGGUAAGGGAGCAGGGUAGGACUGACCCAGCUCCGGACAAUCCUGAAGCUUGUUUUUCCUCCAUGAGACCUCUCCGUGGGCUCAACUUCAUGCACAUUCUUUCCCAGAAAAAUCAAAGACAAACCACAAUCCGGGGCUCGGAAAUUCUGACCAGUACCCCCCCCACCUCUCCACCUCCCUCCCCCGCAGGGCCCCCUGCGGAUCUCCAGUCCCUUCCUCUCCUGCCUGACUGUCCCUAGAAGCUGAUCCCGCCCAGUGCUGAUCCAGGCCACCUCACGGAGCACAAAGAAGCAAGCAAGUGCUCCCUGAGCUGCAGGCCGUGCUCGCCUGCCUCCUGAAGACGCCACGGGCCUCGUUCCCCUGCUAGAACAUACCGCCUGGCCUAACUGCCAAGCUCAAGUCAAAGGGGAUGUCCCUGCCAUGACAUAAGGGCAGGUGACUGCCUUGGAGUUUUCUGGCUUAAAGACAAGUCAUAGGGCGCCUGUAUCUGAGUGGGGAGAGAGCUCAGCUUGCAAAGGACCCGCCUGAUCCCCCCACUCGACACAACAUUCCACCUUCGUUUCUAAAUGUUUAGAAUCUGAAAAAACUAUCAAACGAACGUCUGGGCCCACCCCGGAUCGGAAACCUUGGAUCUCCUUCCAGAGAUUUAUGGUCUUGCCUCUUUCCCACGUCUCCAGCUGUCACACAGGAGAAGUGACCUCUCAAUGCAACUUCCUUUCUAACAUGUUGGUACUUGGCUUGCAACGUCUUUUCCUUGCUCUGCAGCCUUCCCCCUGGGGCCCAGGUGGCAGUCGGCCAGAGGGCACCUUCCGCCCUCCUCCCCUGGAAGGACCAUAUGAUUUGGCUGUGAGGAGCUCCCACAAGCACUGCUGCGCACCCUUCCUCCCCAGCCCCCCAGCCGCCUGGAUUUGCCCCGAUGCUUGUUCCACCUGUUCCACCUUCCAGCCCGUGUCCUCAGGAGGCCUUGCUAGGCGGAGGGAGGGUGGAGGCAAGAAAGGGCCAAAGGGGAGGUGACGGGAGAGGGCGCCGAGGGAGCGCAGGCUAGCACGCCCCUGGUCUGAGCCCACCGGAGCGCCUCUGCAGCCUAGGUGUUGUGAGCAGGGGGGAAAGGCGGCCGUUGUUAAAUUCACCAACGAUUUAAAGAAAGCUCUCCAUGUCUGGGGCACCUGGGCGGCUCAGUCGGUUUAAGCAGCUGACUUCAGCUCAGGUCCUGAUCUCCCAGUUUGUGAGUUCCAGCCCUGCAUCGGGCUCUGUGCUGACAGCUCGGAGCCUGGAGCCUGCUUCGGAUUCUUGUCUCCCUCUCUCUCUGCCCCUCCCCAACUCAUGCUGUCUCUAUCAAAAAUACACAUCAAAAAAACAAACAAAAAAGGAAGCUCUCCAAGUCCCACACUUACGCUCCCAGCCACCGAACUGAGAGAGAAGAGGACUGGGGGCAAAGCCUCCAAAGCUGGGGAGGGACCCCUGGGGGCCUCUGUGGGGGAGUGCUCCCGACCACUGGCCAGGAUGGCUUGUAGGGUGGGUGCCUGGUGACACGGGUCCUUCCUUCCAGACACACACGAGGCAGGGGUGAGUGUGUGGCCGCGGGGAGGCCUAGCUUCCAGAGGGAAAGCCUGGGUCUGGUCACCGCAGGCAUGGCUUGGUAGAGGAGCUCAAAUGAGGAAGCCUCCCCUGACCCCAUCACUCACGUCAUGAUCGGUCACCCACGCCCCGCCCCUCCUGCCUUGUUCUUCUUUGUUACUACCAGCCUCGGGGCUGACACCAGCUCAUCGACUGGCUGCUGGGCCCAGAGGACAGAUGAAGAGCAGAAAGUACAGCGCGGUACAAGGUAGCCGUCUUUUUUUUUCUAAACAGACAAAUCUGGCUCCGCCUCCUACUAGACAAAUCAGCACGAGGACAUUACAUAACGGUUCAAACGUCGGUCUCCUCCUCCUGUCGGUUAAAUAGGGAGGGGAACGCCACCUCGCUUACAAUCGAAUCAAGGGGGCAGCCCCCCAAAGCACCACGCGUCGCCCACUCUUUAUCACCAGCUUUCCUGGAACCUCUUGGUUCCCGAUCCAAGACAACUGGACGUUUUCCCGAGGUUCAUCCGGGACACACAGCUAAACCCGCAGCCCUCAUUUCCCGUUUGCUCGGAAGCCACGCAUCAUUAGCCGAGACCUGUCUCCCUGGCCGCGGCCCUGCCCCUCCUCUCAGUUACUUACCUUGGAAACCGGCCCCAGCUUUAACGCACCUCGGAUGAGUCAUGCGACCGGCCGUUAGGAUGACAGAAGCACGAAUCUCCUCAUUAAAGGCCGAGGGCGCAAGGCGACACAAACGGGCCCGCGGCCCCGGCCUGGCGGGCUGAGGACAGCCACUCGUCAGGCCCGUGUGGCUUGGCAGCAGGCAUCGCUCAUGGCCAGCCGGAACCAGGCCCUGGCCGUGGGAUGGCGGCUCCGACCGAAACUACCAGGAAGGCUGAGGAUUAAAUAUUUGUCCGGGUCGCUGUAAACCAGUGGAAUUAUAAACAGUUUGGAGCGGUAAGUGGUGCAGGAAGCUGUCUCCGGAUACGGAUUUAGGAUUUUCCACCGUCGCCCGGGUGGCAGGGGGAGGGGGAGGGGGAGGCAGGCUGCGGUACAGCUGGCUGUCCGGGCUCAGCUGCCCUCCCCGCCAAGGGUUCCUGGAGGACAAGGGCCUGUUUCCACGCAAAAUGACGGGCCUCGGGUCUGAGAUGAGUGGGGACAGCCCCGCUGAGGGGCCAGAGACGGGGACCCCCAAGAUCCCCGGCGGCUUCAGGCCCCUCUUACUCGACAGAGUCAGCGGAGGCUUAGCAUGGGGUGGGGGGGUUGGUCUAAGGCCCUGGGACGCAUCCCAGGCAUGUUGACAAAACGUCUACCCUGCCCUCUUUCAAAUGCAUGUACGCACUUUUCUGCUGAGCCCACGAGCCCACAAACCUACAUGAGUCACUAAAUUCAUCUUUUCCGCAAUCUUUUUUUUUAUCAAAUACGGCUAUUAAAAGUAUUGGAGUUAUUAACGUUAAAACAUUACGGGGCACCUGGAUGACUCAGUUGGUUCGGCUUAGGUCAUGAUCUCACGGUCCGUGAGGUCGAGCCCCGCGUCGGGCUCUGUGCUGACAGCUCAGAGCCCGGAGCUGCUUUUGGACUCUGUUGUCUCCCUCUCUCUCUGUGCCUCCCCCACUCACACUCUGUUUCUCUCUCUCAAAAACAAACUAACAUUAAAAAAAUUACUAAAAAAAAAAAACAUUAAAAACUCGUUUGCUGUCAAAAGGGACCCUCGGGCACUACUGGCCGGGGCAGAGGCGAGGUUCUCUGCACGGAAGAGGGCUUCCUCUGGAGGGCGUUCUCAAGACCACCACACUGCUGCCAACGGACUUCUGGGAGCCCAGGGAGCCCAGGUGCUACAGGGUCUGCCCUUUCUCUUCGACCCCGCCCCUUUUUUUCCUAAGACAUCUCAAUAUGGUUUUUUUUGGUUUUUUGUUUUUAAAUUUAAUUGAGAGAGAGAGAGAGAGAGAGGGCGCACGAGCGCGCGUGCAAGCGGGGGAGAGCAGCAGAGGGGGAGCGAAAAGAGAGAAUCUUAAGCGGCUCCACACUCAGCACGGAGCCCCACACAGGGUUCGAUCCCAGGAACCGUGAGUCACGACCUGAGCCAAAAUCAAGAGUUGGGCACUUGACGGAGCCACCCAGGCGCCCGCCCCUUCUCUGCCCUGUACACAGAGACACCCCACUGCACUGCACCAGCUCCCGGUGAAGGCCUUUCUUCCAGGUGGGGCGGCUGACGGUCCUACACGCAGAGGCUUCAAGUGGCAUCUGAAGUGCCAGUUUGGCCCAGUCUGCUCUGCAGGAAGCAGCAACUCCCAGCCUCCAGCUCCCAGGUCACCUAGACACACCUGGAGGGGACAUCUGGGACACGGGCUGCUGAGGACACCUAAGCAGAAGGCGGGUGAGAGGCACGUGGUAGAUGCAACAUUCUGAUCUGUGAGAAAUCGACGCUUUCAUUCCAGUGACCUAAAUAUAAUUCUCAUACACACCGGUCUUCCUCCACAGCUCCCACCCAGCUUGUGGCUCCCAAAGCCUUGCAAUUUCCUGAGCCGCAGUGGGACCGUCUUUUGUCGUAAUGGUCUUUGGUCUCCUGUCCUCAGCGUCUGAAAUCACUUGGGAGCCAUACAGGUGAAAUGAGCUUAUGUUAGGAGGAGAUUCUGGAAAGCACCUCAAAAUGGGGGCUGGUUGCCAGGGGAUCUUUCGGUCCCCCCGAUUUCCCGGCAGGGGCGAAGGAGGGAGAUUCAAAGAGUUUCCAGGUUGGGGAACAGAACGCUUCCAAGUGCCGCCAUGCCGGGCGCCAAGCUCACGCUCCAUGAGGACAGAAGACAGAAGCCCCUUUGUUUAAGACCUCGCCCUCUGCUUUGUCUUCAUUCGGCCGUCCAUCUGUAUCCUCUAAUAUCCUCUGUAGGAAACCGGCGCUCAAACGAGUAAAUGGGUUUCCUGAGUUCUGGGAGCCACUCCAGCAGAUUAAUUGAACCCAAGGAGGGGUCUGCUGACAUGUGGCUGGUCAGCCAGCACAGGUAGCUUGCAAGUGGCAUCUGAAGAUACCUGUUGCGGGGAGGGCCUGGGCCCCUAACUGGUGGGAUAUAACACCAUCUCCAGGUGGACAGGGUCCGAGCAAGGUGAACUACAGGACGCCCUGCCAGUGUCCAGAGCGCUGCUUGCUGGCGACGUGGGGCACCACCCUCACCCACGACAGGACUGUCGAGUGUCCAUGUGCAUGCAGAUUCCCUGGAAAAUUCUGCUGAGUGCAGAUCCCAACGUGGCGGGUCCGGGUAGGGCCGAAGAUCUCUGCGUGUCCGAAGAGCUCUUUGGUGCUGCCGACGUGAGGCCGGGAGUGGGCUGUGGGCGGCAAGGUGGACGCCCUCGGGCUGCCGAGGAAGGCUUGCAGAGAUGGACCGAGCCAGCGGCUGUUCGUGGACGGAGGCACACAGACGUGGUGAGCCCCGGUGAGGGCGAAGAGAAGAAGCCGUGGCCACGCCUGCAGCCCCUCGGCCCCCCGGAGGCACAGAGCCCGAUGGAAGCGGCAGGUGGUGUUCGGCCAUAGACUGCUCCACAGUCUUCACUUUGAAAAGGUGAAGCCCUUUAAGCGUCCGACUCUCGACUUCAGCUCCGGUCAUGAUCUCACGGUUCAUGAGCUCGAGCCCCAUGGCGGACUCUUGUGCUGGCAGUGCAGAGCAUGCUUGGAAUUCUGUCUCCUUCUCUCUGUCCCUUCCCUACUUGCUCUUUCUCU